UACGUAGGGGGCAAGCGUUGUCCGGAUUUAUUGGGCGUAAAGCGCACGUAGGCGGCUUAGCAAGUCGGAAGUGAAAUCCCUCGGCUCAACCAAGGAAGUGCUUUCGAAACUGCUGAGCUUGAGUACUUAAGAGGAUCGCGGAAUUCCCGGUGUAGAGGUGAAAUUCGUAGAUAUCGGGAGGAACACCAGUGGCGAAGGCGGCGAUCUGGGAAGAUACUGACGCUGAGGUGCGAAAGCGUGGGGAGCGAACAGG
rnacentral:rRNA from 1 species